ensembl:rRNA 5S_rRNA 5S ribosomal RNA
GCUUAUGGCCAUACCAGCCCAAGAACGCCCGGUCUCGUCUGAUCUCGGAAGCUAAGAAGGCUUGGGCCUGAUUAGUACUAGGAUGGGAGACCUCCUGGGAAUACCAGGUGCUGUAAGCU